rnacentral:lncRNA from 1 species
UUUUUUUUUUUUGAACAAAUCCCCCAAAUCUUAUAAAUAAGUUCUCAGAUUCAUACUUUGGCUCUUUUAUCAAAUUUUAAAUAGAUAUUUACAUUACAAGUAGAAACUUUUACGAAAAUUCAGAAAUGAGGGAUGUUACACUCUCCCCCCCUUAAAAGAAAAUUUUAGUCCUCUAAAUUUAUCAUACCUCUAUCGAUGAA